rnacentral:lncRNA from 1 species
UUUUUGGGCAUCAAAUACAAAUAUUAAUAUAUAGCGAACUUCAGGUACUAGGAUGGGGAUCAACAACUUGUUCUUAAAUAAAUGUGUCAAACCAACCUAAAAUUGUUCUUGGAUUUAUGACUUAUAUUUAAGCCUUUCUAUUUUAAAAUGUUAAACAAACAAAAACCAAACCAAAGCCAAGAAAACCACUGUGUGUGUAGUGUUUCAUUCUUCUGGUCACAGAAAACAUAUUCCAGCAGAUGGGGCUAGAAAUUUAUAUAUGAUUCUUGUUUUAGAAUAUCACACACUCUGACGGAAUACUUUUCUUGAAAAAGAAAGUUUAUUUUUAUUCACGUUCUUUUACUGAAAAAAAAUUAAGGUUUUUCUUCUUUGGUAAUCUUACUUCUAUGUUACUAGGGGGUAAAAAAUGUACGUUUUCCUGUUAUAUACAGAUUAUAGGUGAUCGCUUCACAGCCUUCUGGCUAAGAUCAUG